UAAAAUAAUAAUAUUGUUUUCAUUAUGUUAUCUUAUUUGUAUCUCUGUAUAUAUGUGAUAUUUUAAUUGUGUAUAUAUAUUUUUAUCUUGAGUUAGCGCUAUUUCUUCUGUCUUGUCGCUGAACUGUUGUGUUUCCCUCUGGGAUUAAUAGUGAUUAAAAGUGAUCUAUGAUCUAUCUAUGUACCUAAAAUAAACGUCCCCAAAAAAUAUCAAUACAAGCUCAAGCACACAGACACACUUGGCUCUGCACCUGUCAGUAUCAGUAUGAACUGCCGACCAAUCACAGCACAGUGGGCGGGAUCUGUCUGAAUACGGGUGGGAUAAAGAGAGCGCCUGAUGAUUAGAGAUGAAUCCAGGUAAAUGGAAACUUAUUUGUGCUGGGGAAUCCUCGGCCGGGCGUGGGCGGUAGAAACUCCCCUGUUGGGUAACAUGUCUAAACCUGUUCCUCCUGGCUUAUAUAAAGCCAGACUGCGGCUGAUUCAGACCACAAGACCUAGACCGGAUCUCUGUACCUCCAGACCCCAAAAACCGCAACGGCUGCUUUCAGUAGAGCUGCUAUCACAGCUGAGCGGAGACGAGCAGAGGAGAGCAGAGCAUCAUGGACAGGCUUCAUUCAGACAGGUGCUUCAAAACCUGGAGAAGAAGAAUCAAGAGCUUCUCGACAUCAAUAAGAAAUGGGCUGAACGAUACAGAACACUGAGACAGCAUGUCAAAAGCUACGAGCUGAGGAAAGAAGAGAAGGAGAAAGACACUAAACAGACUGGACAGGUCCUGCAGAAGAGCCUGGCAGUUCAACACAAGAGAAACCAGAGAGAGGAAAAUGUUUGGAAACAUCAGGCUCAGGUGUAUAAGGAGGACUUCUUUAAAGAGAGGAAGGAUAGAGAAAUGCUAAUGGCCAAAUACACAGACUUGGAGGAAAAGUUCAAGAAAGUCCAUGAUGAGUUACGUGCUUACAAAUUACAAGCUCGGUGGGCUCAGUUAGGCCCCUCGACAAGCCCCCCAGCACACACAUAACCCAUGUGAUGCAUCAGCGGAGUCCCAUUCAGCUACAGCAUAAAAAACGACUCAAAGCUGACCUUAUUAAGAGCUUACCCUAAGCUGUGCUGCUCCCUUUAUAUAUACCUUUAUUUGUCUGACUGUGUGAUGCUUAUUGUUAGUGUAUUAAGCGUGUUCUAUUAUUUAAAUGGAAUAAUUUAUCUGUAAAUAAAGUUAGUUAUAU
rnacentral:lncRNA from 1 species